rnacentral:misc_RNA from 1 species
CGUUCUUUGGUUUUGGUUUCUCUGCUCCCUUUCGUAAAAACAUGAUUAUUUUCUGCUUUUAAUUUUACUUACAAUGCUAAAUUUUGUAUGCUGGGAGAAGAGAUCACAGUGAUGACUCAGGAAAUUCAAGCUCAACAGACCGGAAUGCAGGCCUCUCUUUUUCUAGAGAGCUUUGCGUGUCGACCUUCCCGCUGACCUGAGUGAUCCUUUUCUCUUACGAAAUUGACAUUUCCUUUUUGGUUUCUGGCCUAAAAGGUCUAUCUAGUGGUUUUCGUCUCUUAAAUUUUAGCUGUUGAUUUGAUUUGAUUAUCUUCUUGUUCUGAAAUAGGAGAAGUUGGGGGUAAUUGAGGUUGCAAUGAGGAUUCACAGCUCCCUCUUCUGAGUUCAAGUUGAGGAAAUCAGCUGGCAGAAUCGAACCUAUGACUUAUUAGCCAUCACUGAGCAAUCUCAAUUACCCCCAACUUCUCCUAUUUCA